UUACGGCCAUAUUACGUUGAGACACCGGUUCACGUCGUAUCACCGAAGUUAAGCAACGUCGAGCCUCGUUAGUACCUAGAUGCGUGACCGCUUAAGAAUAUCAGGUUCUGUAUG